rnacentral:lncRNA from 1 species
CUCUUUCACCCCGGAGGCGAGGACGCCCGCCCUCGUGUCAGAGGCUGACGCCGUGGGCUUGACAAAGAGAUGAAUAAGACUUCAGAGAAUUAUGAAGUUGAAACCACAACGUGGAAGACACCUGGGGUUGACAAACGAGUCAUUGGAGACGCGCUUCCUAGGAGAGCUGUGUGACCAGGAACACCUAGAGUAGUGUAUUUGCUUUGUUAAAGAGUGACUUGUAUGAGAGAGAAAUCUAUUUUCCAUAAAAAUAAAAAAAGAAUGACUGAAA